rnacentral:lncRNA from 1 species
CAGCUGCAUGCAAAAAUAUUUUGGAGAGCAAUAAAAAUUUAACAGGGUAAUAUGUAGAAUUACUUGCCAUUCAUGGCAAUAAUAAUAACAUCAAGGCAAUAGUAUUGAAGGGCUGACCAUACUAUAAUCUGAUGAGAGAGUACCUUUGACCAAAUGCAAAAAUCAGUAGGCCUAAUUUCUAUACAAGCAAAAUAAGUUAAAAGAAAUGUGCAGCUUUAGCAAAUGAUGCAAUCUUUAGCAUAACUCAUACGAGGUUGUGGUAUACUCUUGCAAUAUCAAAACAUUCCCGGAACUCUCAAUGGCUCGAUGUUUUUCAGAACAAAGGUGCAGCUUUAGCAAAAUUAUACAAUCUUUAGAAUAACUCUUACAAGGUUAAGAUAUAAAAUUGCAUUAUUAAAACAUGCUGCGGGCUCUUGAAGACUGCUAUUUUUCCUUUGGCUGGAUGACAUAAAAGAACUUCUGCUUCAAACAAUUCACUUAUCAAAAAGUUAUGGGCUGGAUAACUACCUUUGGCUCGAGCGUUGAGAUUAACACACAUAACCUUAUGACAACAUCUACCCUUUCGGAACUUGUAACUUACACACUGGAAGCAGAAAAUCUCACCUCACUUGAUCUCAGACCUACAAAAAUCAUAUGCAGUGCACUUCAAAUUUCCAAUACUUGAUCACAUAUCAUUGAGA